rnacentral:rRNA from 1 species
GACGAACGCUGGCGGCGUGCUUAACACAUGCAAGUCGAGCGGUAAGGCCCUUUCGGGGGUACACGAGCGGCGAACGGGUGAGUAACACGUGGGUGACCUGCCCUUAGCUCUGGGAUAAGCCUGGGAAACUGGGUCUAAUACCGGAUAUGACUCCAUGACGCAUGUUGUGGGGUGGAAAGCCUUGUGCGGCUAGGGAUGGGCCCGCGGCCUAUCAGCUUGUUGGUGGGGUGAUGGCCACCAAGGCGACGACGGGUAGCCGGCCUGAGAGGGCGACCGGCCACACUGGGACUGAGACAUGGCCCAGACUCCUACGGGAGGCAGCAGUGGGGAAUCUUGCGCAAUGGGCGAAAGCCUGACGCAGCGACGCCGCGUGAGGGAUGACGGCCU